ACUACAUAAUCUAAAAGCAAACCAAUCCCGGUCAAAGUGACUUGUUUUAAAGAAUCCCCACAUCCCCCAAUUCCCCCAGCAGCGUCUGGUAAACUGAUUGUUCUCUCUUCUUAUGCUAAAAUCACUAAUGUCUCCACAUUAUCACCUGGCCCUUCACAGCAAACAGUACCAACAGUAUCCGGGCUAACUGAGUCUCAUCCAAUCACGCUCCAGAUAUCUGGGUGGGGUUAUAUAUAUACUGUUUUCCUGACAGAAUCUUCAUUGAUUUUUUUUAUUUUUUUGUGAAAUAAAAUUCUAAAACCUUGAAGGACAAACUGCUUUUUGAGAUUCCUACAUUGCCUACAAGGGACCACAUACAACAAAGCCUACUAAGGCCAUUUCUCAUCUCUUUUUUCCAUUCAAGACUGAAAAGGAAAAUGAGACCCAGAAGAGUCUGUCCUGAAAAGGAAGCUUUAAAAUUCAUCGCAUCUGGGAAAGAUAAAGACACAUUUCAGUCAAGAGUCAAGAGAACGAUUGUUGAUGAACAGAAAAGAGCACAUUUGUGCAUUUGAGACCACAAACAUCACUACAGGAGAAGAAAUGAUGUUCGACUGCGGAGAUCCUGACUGCUCAUGGAGACAGGUAGCAGGAUGCUUGGUCCAUUACAGACGGAUGGGCAACACCCUCAUCUGACCACUACACCCUACACCCAGGAUCCACUUGGUCUGUCUCUACAUGUCAGAACGAGUAACUUCAGUCUUCAAUGGGAUGAAAAACUAAACAUAUCUUAAGCAGAAUGAUGAGCAAAUCAGUGGAAGAGCAUCCUACUAUUGAGGAAAGCCUUCAGGAAGUCAAAACUAUGUGCAAAGACUUAUUGUAGAGUUUACAAUAAGCAUUAAAAUGAUUGGAUAUAAGUAUUAGUGUGAAUUUACAGGUUUCGAUCACCAGUCUUAUCAAAUAUCAACCACAAACAGCUACAGCUCAGGAAAGACUUCAGCCUUCAGUCUUGGACACAUCAGUAAAUCACUAGUGCCAUUAAAUCAAAACGCAAGAGCCAGAAAGCCCUGGUCAGAAACAGAGGAAACUCAUAGAACACUGUUUCAAGAACUACUUUAAGGAAAUGAAGGCUCCUGGAAAAGUGGACUGUGAAAGAUGCAUAAAUGCAAACAGGAUUCUAAAGGAUAAUGGAAGAGACUGGAAAACAGUUAAAUACUUUGUGCUCAACAGAAUAAUUUCAGUUAAGAGAAGUUUGGGUGAACAGUACUGAGCCCAUAAACCCUGAGAGCGUGUGAUGUGGAGUAUCAGUGUUGAGUCCUAACUGUGCCGUGACACUGAAGGUCCAUGUACAUGCAGCAUCAGUGCGUCAUAGCAUUGAAAUGACUGACUACAGCUGUUUUCAGCUGCUGUUUGGGACUCUGUUUUAGACCUGUUAUAACUUUGAUUUAAGCCACUGUAAUUUUGAACUAUUUAAUUUUUUUUUAAAUAAACAAAUUUUAUUAUUUU